rnacentral:rRNA from 1 species
UACGUAGGGGGCAAGCGUUAUCCGGAUUUACUGGGUGUAAAGGGAGCGUAGGCGGGGAUGCAAGUUGGGUGUCAAAACUACCGGCUCAACCGAUAGUCGCACUCAAAACUGCAGCCCUUGAGUGAAGUAGAGGCAGGCGGAAUUCCUAGUGUAGCGGUGAAAUGCGUAGAUAUUAGGAGGAACACCAGUGGCGAAGGCGGCUUACUGGACGAUGACUGACGCUGAGGCUCGAAAGCGUGGGGAGCAAACAGG